AUAUAUAUUUAUGUUUUGCUUAAUUACCAAUAUUAUAUGCAUACCAGUCAAUUUAUUUUGACCUUAUCAAUUAGAUAAGGAGUUAUCUCCUCUUAAAUAUGAAACGUGUGAUUUCUUUUCUAUGUAGAGAAGAAGAUCAGGUCAUUAAACAUAUUCAAACCGUUUUGGCUUUUCCAUUUUGAAAUUGCUUUUAUGUUUUGAUUAAUUUUUAUGUUAAUAACCUGUAAAGCAGUCCCUAUACAUAGAAAAGUAUAAUCAUCUGAUAUACUUUAUAUAUAUUCAAACCGUUUUGCUUUUUUCUGUGCGAUUACUUUACGUUUUGUUUUUUUUUUCCGUUUUGUCCUGCUUUUAAGCUCUCAUUAAUCUCUCAAACCAUCAACGUCUCUUUCUUAUAUAGUAUAUAUAGUAGUCCCUGAAUCACUGAAAGAAUACGAAAAAAUGUAUAUUUUUUCUGAUAUAUAGUUUUGAUAAGCAACAUAUUGAGAGGGUCUGAGUUCGAGGGUUCUUGCAUUGUGCAAGGAAGAACUUUAUCAGAAGAAUAACGUUCUGGGCUGUUUUAUCCUAGGGACGACGUGGUGUUUGUGAACUACUUGCACACUUUGGGCAGAGCCGCGAAACGUCUUAAAGAGAGUGACUUAGUCUACGACUCAUCCCAAGAAUCAUUCACCAUUCAAGGUUUCUACAUUUUUCGGAUAACUUCGUUUCCUUCAAUUUUAGUUUUCAACACUACUAAUAUUACUGAAGGUGACUACAUAUAAAUCCUCUCAAGUUCUGUACAUACGUUUCACAUUAAACAGUAUGAAAACAACAAAUCCCCAUAGUGUGCCAAGAUAUUUAAGAAAAUGCAUUCAGCUAGUCGUUCUCUGUGGAAUUCAACUAAUUUACCACUCGAUCAUAAUAGGGGAAAACAAUUAAACUGUAAAAUUAAAAACAAUUAAACCUAGUAAAUUUUCUGUAAUUCAAAAAACAAAACAGUUGGCAACAAAGAUUUAGAGUUAAUUUAUACCAUGGAGUGCCAACUGAUGGACAUAUAAAGGAUGCAGAGCGAAAUUAGAAAACAACAAAACCCAGAUCAAAUAUUUCACAAAAAUUAACAACUCCAGAAGUUACCUUCCGGAAGUUACCCAGAUCAAAUAAUUCGUCAGUAACCCCCCUCUUGCUCAUACAUGAAUGUCGUCUUUCGGAGGUCAUAGUUGCAACAAAAUAACAGUACAAUUUUCAUUUCCCACUACCAACUGUGCGGCAGAUUUAUUUCUGUGUAGAUGCAAGCUCGUGAUCUGGGGGAAUGAUUCCUCCAGUUACAAAACUCAACCAAACAUAGAGAUCCACAACCUUUAAUUUUGGCACAAACAGAGAAUUAUCAGAAGCUCACCUCAUAGAAAACUUAUAUCUUUCGGUUUCGAGUCUUACUAAUGAACAAAUAGUACCCACUUCUUGGGCCGUCUUCAACCACGUAAAGCUUCACUCUCUUAUUAGUUUCUGUGUUUAGGGAUUUGUUGGGUGCUCGCAUGUGGAAAUUUGGAAAGCUUUAGUUGUGGAUUGUGGGGUACUGACGCAGUGGCGGUCCCAUUUCAUAUUAGAAAAGAUGGGUGCUCUAGACGCGCAAGGAGUGGUUCAUCAACACCAGGGAUGGCGGCUGAUCUCAUGUAUGUGGUUACAUGCUGGAGUUUUCCAUGUGCUUGCCAAUAUGCUGAGUCUUGUAUUCAUUGGAAUUUGGCUUGAGCAAUAAUUUGGAUUUGUUUUGGGGUUGUGUACAAGGGAGUUCUCGAUGUUUGAUGAUAGAGCUCAAAUGGUUGCUUCCGUAAAGGUGUUUAACUUGUUACGCUGUGGAGCAGCAAAGUGUUUUAUAUCUGGAUGUGAGGCUUUGAGAAAUAUCAAGCAUCAAAAUCUCGUCAAGAUUAUAACUCCAUGUUCAAGUGUUGAUUCUCUUGGUAAUGAUUUCAGGUCUUUGGUUUAUGAGUACAUGGAAAAAGCAAGCUUAGAGAAGUGACUGCAUCCACCGACUGAUAUUGAAGAAGCAAGAGAGGCACCCAAGAGUUGAAAUCUUUUGCAAGGGCUUAGCGUUACCAUUGAUGUUGCUUGUGCUCUUGAUUAGUCGAUUAUCUUCAUAAUCAAUGCGAAACACCGAUAGUUUAUUGUGAUCCGAAGCUGUUAGACAAAUAAGGAAUAUGGUUGGAAUCCUUGUGUAAUUGUAUAUAAUAUUAGUAUUGGAAGAAUAAGCCGUCCUACAGCCGUCAAGCCGUCCUAGCUUGUCUCCUAGCCGUCCUAGCUUGUC